rnacentral:rRNA from 1 species
UACGUAGGGUGCAAGCGUUGUCCGGAAUUAUUGGGCGUAAAGAGCUCGUAGGCGGUUAGUCGCGUCUGCUGUGAAAACUCGGGGCUUAACCCCGGGCCUGCAGUGGGUACGGGCUGACUAGAGUGCGGUAGGGGAGACUGGAAUUCCUGGUGUAGCGGUGAAAUGCGCAGAUAUCAGGAGGAACACCGGUGGCGAAGGCGGGUCUCUGGGCCGUAACUGACGCUGAGGAGCGAAAGCGUGGGGAGCGAACAGG